ensembl:lncRNA
CCCCACCUCCAUGACCUCCGCCCCCACCUCCAUGACCUCCAGCGGGGCCUCCACCUUCGCCAUAUCCUCAGCCUCCUCUGACUACACGGUUCCCCCCCCCGGGGGUAAACCCGGGGAGCCCCCGGCGCCCCCGGUUUGGGAGGGGGGCGGCUGGCAGGACGCGGUGGGCGACUCGGGCAUCGAGGAGCUGGACGGCCACAGCAGCAGCGAGCAGCACCUGGAGAGUACCAGGACCCCUACAUGUCUUACGCCGACAACCAAUCGUAUCAGAACACGAGUGCGGCAAACCCAGUGUCUCCAAGGAGGAGUCAGUACAAAGAGGCUGGGGGAAGGGCGCCCCCUGUGGCGCUACGCCGCCAGGGCAGCGCCCACCCUGCUCCCCCCCCCCACCCGGCCGUGCAGCCCCAGUUGCACGUGGAGGAGGACUUGAGGAGGGAGGACUUGAGGAGGGAGGACUUGAGGAGGGAGGACUUGAGGAGAGAGGACUUGAGGAGAGAGGACUUGAGGAGGGAGGACUCUGCAUCGGAGGAGAGGAAACGCAGGCUGAUCCGAAACAAAAUGGAGGAGGGCUUCGGCUCAGCGCUGGCCGCCUGCUUGGACCGACCCAUGGAGGCCCGGACCGCGGGCUGGGGGGAGGCGGGGGAGCCGGGGGAGCCGGAGCGCCCCGGGGGGGGGCUCCAGCGGGGCGGCAUUUCCCUGGAGGGACGCCGCCUUCACUCGCCGCUCUCUGGCGUGAAGGCGAGCAUCCUCAACGAGCUGAGCUCCAAGCUGCAGCAGAUGGGCAGCAUCAGGAGCCUUGAGGACUGGAGCCACGCCCCCCGCUCCCCCACCACGCACAGCUCUCCUGGCCUCUGCUCUCCCUUGCAUGUCUCCCCCUCUCCCCGACACACAGACUGAGAGAGGGAGAGAGAGGCUGGGAGCCCAGGAGUAGAGGGAGGGAGACGGAAAGAUGGAGCGUUGGAACCAGCCGGCGGACCGGCGUGGAGCGCCCGGGGAAGACCUGGACCCCCCCGAGGGGCAGGGGGUGAACAUCAUGGAGGCACUGAGCGCCCCGCGGGGAGGGAGGACUCUGCACGCACGUUCACCUUCUGGAGCGCGCUGUCGUAGAUGAACAACCACACACACACACACUCACUCACUGUCACACACACACACACACACACACACUCAGUGACAGAGCCCAUCUGUUGGCUAGACUCAUGGCGUGUUGGCGAUGGGGCUGAUCUCCGUGGCGAUGGGGCGGAUCUCCGUGGCGAUGGGGCGGAUCUCCGUGGCGAUGGAGAUCCCUUAAGCCUUGCUUCUACAGACGGUUUCCGUGGAAGCCAGACGCUGACAUUAGGACGACACUUUUAAACAGCCUCCGACAAACGGGGACAGCCAAUCAUUGAACCACAGGAGCGGAGGUCAGCCUGGCCUCAACACAAACCGGGGAUUAGUAAUCCGUGGGUACGGUUAGAUAGCAAUGUAGGCUUUUUUUAUACUGAGGUCAUUUCUUUGCUCCCCAAAUAAUUAAUCUUCUGGAAUAAGUUUGUGUGUAGUAGCAGAGCACUGAAUAUGUCCUGUGAGUGAACAGAUGAAGUUAGGGUUAGGUUUAGGGUUUGGGGUAGGGGUUAGAGUUGGGUUUUGGGGUUAGAGUUAGG